rnacentral:rRNA from 1 species
UACGUAGGGUGCAAGCGUUGUCCGGAAUUAUUGGGCGUAAAGAGUUCGUAGGCGGUCUGUCGCGUCGGCUGUGAAAACUCGGGGCUCAACUCCGAGCUUGCAGUCGAUACGGGCAGGCUAGAGUUCGGCAGGGGAGACGUGGAAUUCCAUGGUGUAGCGGUGAAAUGCGCAGAUAUCAGGAGGAACACCGGUGGCGAAGGCGGGUCUCUGGGCCGAUACUGACGCUGAGGAGCGAAAGCGUGGGGAGCGAACCGG